UAAAAACCCCGACUUCGGAAGGGGUGUAUUUAUUAGAUACAAAACCAAUGCCCUUCGGGGCUCUUUGGUGAUUCAUGAUAACUAUACGAAUCGCACGGCCUUGCGCCGGCGAUGGUUCAUUCGAAUUUCUUCCCUAUCAACUUUCGAUGUUUGGGUAUUGGCCAAACAUGGUUGCAACGGGUAACGGAGGGUUAGGGCUCGACCCCGGAGAAGGAGCCUGAGAAACGGCUACUACAUCCAAGGAAGGCAGCAGGCGCGCAAAUUACCCAAUCCCGACUCGGGGAGGUAGUGACAAUAAAUACUGAUACAGGGCCCUUUCGGGCCUUGUAAUUGGAAUGAGUACAAUUUAAAUCCCUUAACGAGGAACAAUUGGAGGGCAAGUCUGGUGCCAGCAGCCGCGGUAAUUCCAGCUCCAAUAGCGUAUAUUAAAGUUGUUGUGGUUAAAAAGCUCGUAGUUGAACCUUGGGCCUGGCUGGCCGGUCCGCCUCACCGCGUGCACUGGUCCGGCCGGGCCUUUCCCUCUGUGGAACCCCAUACCCUUCACUGGGCGUGGCGGGGAAACAGGACAUUUACUUU
rnacentral:rRNA from 1 species